GGGCUGGGCAUUGCAGACGACGUUAGAAGACUCGGUGUUGUGCUUUGUGGGUUAAGUGCCAACCUAGGGUGGCAAGAAUGGAUAUGAUAUCAGAAUAGGAAGUUAACCUUCAGUUUAAAUUGAAACAAAAUGAUAAAUUUUUAGUUCGUUUUUUUAAAUUUUAUUGGAGUGAGUGAAAUGAAGAGUAAAACGAUUGAGCUUUUUAUAGAAAACAUAGCCUAAUUACUCAGUUUUUGUUAAACUAAUGUAAAAUAUCUUCAUGUACUUUGAAGGUUAUUAUUUUUAAUGAAUUUAAAAUUGUAAGUGCUGACAUUUAAAAAAGUAUUUGUGUCCUACCGUUUUAAAUUUAAUCAUGGUAAUUGCAAGACCUUUUUCUCCUGUAAUUAUUAGGGGCACAAAGACAUUUUGUAGAAUACAUGGCAUAUCUUUUUACAAAAAGUUAAAUGGGUGCAAAUAUACUUUGUUUUGCAACAUUCAAAGACACUUUGCAGAUACAGUGUCAGCCAGUCAACAAGGACCAGUGCAUGAUUUAAAUAAAAAGAUAUCAAACAAGGAACUGUUACCUGAUGAACACCAAUUGCGCAUUGCUAAAGAUCUCCAAAGGGUAUUCAAUGAUAUAAAAGCUUAUUCACCACCAAGUGAUAGCAUUUUCACAAAAUUAUUUGGAAAAAAAGUAAAAAAAGGUUUUCCGAAAGGACUGUAUAUACAUGGUGCUGUUGGAGGUGGAAAAACAAUGCUCAUGGAUAUGUUCUAUCAUUGCGUUGAGAGCAGCAGUAAAAGAAGAGUACAUUUUCACGCUUUUAUGGUUGAUGUUCAUGCAAGAAUCCAUGAGGUCCGUAAGGACAUUGUUAGAGAUGUAACAAGCACAAAGCCACAACCAUUUGAUCCAAUACCUCCUGUAGCGAAAGCACUCAGUGAACAAGCUUGGAUGAUCUGUUUUGAUGAAUUUCAGGUAACAGACAUAGCAGAUGCGAUGAUUCUGAAAAGACUAUUCACAGAACUGUUUGAUCGUGGUGUGAUUGUUGUGGCAACCAGCAACCGACCUCCGGAUGAUCUUUACAAGAACGGAUUACAAAGGUCAAACUUUGUACCCUUCAUCCAGGUUCUCAAGGAUCACUGCGAGGUCUCCUGCCUGGAUUCCGGAAUCGACUACAGAGCCAAGGCGAACCCUGCCAGUGAGAAAACCUACUUUGUGAAAUCGGACAAGAACAAUGAUGCUGAAAGAGGAGUCAAUAAAAUAUUCAAAAUCCUAUGUGCCCAUGAAAUCGACAUCAUCAGGCCUCGAGUGUUGAAUAUCCAAGGUCGCAAUGUGACCUUUAAUAAGACUUGCGGCCAAGUGCUGGACAGUACAUUUGAGGAACUUUGUGACAGGCCACUCGGAGCUCACGACUAUCUACAAUUGUCACAGGCGUUCCACACCGUCAUCAUCAGAGACGUCCCCAUUCUGAGUCUCAAAAACCGGUCCCAAGUGCGCAGAUUCAUCACACUCAUAGACACACUCUAUGAUCAUAAGGUACGAGUGGUAAUAUCAGCUGAUGCACCACACAAAACACUCUUUGUCGCACACGGGGAUGAUGAAUACACAGAUGAGAAGAGGAUGCUCAUGGACGAUCUGAAUAUAACUCGUGGUUCGGAAAAUGCUACAGCUAAUAUUUUUACGGGAGACGAGGAGAUAUUUGCGUACGACAGAACAGUUUCUCGCCUUUCGGAGAUGCAAACAAUGGAAUACUGGCAACAGUGGGAUAAACUGAGAUGAAGGAAUAUUUAUUUGCCACAUAGACAACAGUACUUAGUAAUAAUUAGGUGUAUGGCGGCCUUAACCCACUUGUUCCAGGACCAUCAUCAAAAUCUUCAACAAAAGCUGGAAAUAAAUAAAAAACUGUAAAAUUCUGUAAUAAACCAUUUAUUUAUAAAAACACAAGGAUACAGGUUUUUAUUACUAUUAUGCUGAUAUUUGCUUUUUUUGGGUAAAAAUCACUGUCAACAAGUCCAUCGGUAGUAAAAUCAGGAUCAUUAUCUGUGUCACUUUGGAAUAAAUCAUCACUUUCACUGUCACGAUUUAUUGUAUUUACAAUAUUGUUGUAAACUAAAGUAAUAGCAAGCGAAUCAAUAACAAUGCAGGUGACGAAUUAGCAGAGAACGACAACAAAAGUCAGAGCAACUGCGACGUAACAACAAGUUCGUAAAAAACCACUUUUUUCUGAUAUUCCAGAUGACUGCCAACAACAUUUCCAUAGAUCAUAAUCCAUAGAGUAAGAAAUAAAAAAAUGGAAAUACCGAAUGACUUUCAAUGCCGUUUGAAUGCAUUUUUAUUACUGUAAAUGUCAGCACCGUCAAAAGACGUUUUCAUGUGUUUCAUGACUAAAGAAUUCCAUGUGCGACAUCAAAUGACAUUGUUGGCAGUGAAAGUGUUAAAGAUAUAAUUAACACAUCCAAAGUCUUUGUUUUAAGUUUGUUAUUCGUGAUGGAUGAUUUGAGAGUAUAAUAGUAUUUCAGACAUUUACCAUCAUAUAGAUAAAGAAUACAUAUGGAUUGUAUCUUUAAAAUAUCUCAUAAUUCUAUGACUAAAAAUGAAGCUGUGAAAGUGCAUGAGGUUUCACAUUAUUCUUAUAGGCCUGUAUUCAAGAUGGCCGCCAUUAAAACCACCACUUAAGUAUGUUUUUUUUUUAGGUCUUAACCCUCAUGUCUUCGUCUUCUACACUGGUUUCUUCCAUUUAUAUUUAUACAUUUAAGGAUGCUUCAUAGUCAAUUCUGUUCCAUCUUCCUAAUAAUGUAUAUUUUAUUAGAAUUUUCUUGAUCGUGCAAGAAUUUUAUUCAGGUGGUGGUAAAUAACUAAAAUUAUCUGCUAGUCCUCGGAACAGCCAAACCUUCUUUAAAAAAUAUAUCGUUGUAUCUUUAGAUAAAUAUCUCUAUCUUCUGAAAUUGUUUGUAUUGGGAAAAGAACAUUCAACUACAAGUAAAAUUAUAGAAUGGAAAGAGACCUGUAUAUUAAGACUUCUAGGCUGGCUUAGGUAAUUUGUUGAAAUCAACUAAAAAUCACAUAUUUUGCAUUAGCAACUGUCAACCUUGGGCUAAUAACAUCUUUUCUGGUUCACUCUGCUGCCUAUAAUUGUUUACAUAAUUAUAUUCUAGAAAUUUUUCGGUGUCGCUCUGGAUAGCCAUCCUCAACUAAUGUUAAACUGAAACUUUAAUAAAAAAGGCUUUGUUUGUACACAGGUGUGUUGAUCAAUAUGCCAACAACUGACUAUGAUCAAUAUACUUCAUUUCUUACAGACUGCCAGGUUUUCAUUAAUUUAAUUAUAUCUUCUUUAUUUUCUUUCUUGAUCGUUUCUAUGAUUUCUCUUAUUGUCAUUAGGUAAUAAUAUGGAAUUUUCACUAGUACUUGCAUGUUACUGUUGAUUCAAUACAAUGAUAGUUACCGCAUAAUUAUUGGCAUCAGCAAGGAGAGGAGCUGAAACUCUUAGGCUAGUUAAGUGUUCCAAUCCCUUGAAGAGGCAGGGCUGGCAGAAACACUGCAACUGAGAUUUUUCUCAGUAAGGUAAGAGUAGGGCAUACAAUAGAUCACAGUUGCACUGCACUUCUCUCCCCCCAAACUGAAUACAGCACAAUACCAUAAUAACUUACUUUAUUCUUACCUCUACCAUGUCAUGUCCUCGCUCAAGAGAUUUUCUUAUACACGUUUCAUAAAAACACAUGGAGGAUUAGGCUCCUUAUAUACUCCUACCAUUAGAUAUAGUGAACAUUAGAACAAAAUGGAAACAGCCUACUUAUAAUAUUAACAGCCAUUAGGUUUAGUUUAGCAUUGUAAAUUAAUAUAUAAGAAUCAUCAACAUUUUAAUAUACAUAUUGUAAUUUUAUAUUGAUAGUAUAAGAUGACAGUAAAUUAUUAGUGCAAACCCUGUAAGUGGUAAAAGUCAGUCAACUAACCAACGGAAAUGUAAUACUUGUGCUCCAUGAUUUUCAAACUAAGAUAAAUCCUUACAAGAGU
rnacentral:misc_RNA from 1 species